UGGGUAACCUGCCCCUCUCUCUGGGAUAACCCCGGGAAACCGGAGCUAAUACCGGAUACUCCGGCUGGAUCGCAUGGUCCGGCCGGGAAAGGUCCGCCGGAGAGGGAUGGGCCCGCGGCCUAUCAGCUUGUUGGUGAGGUAAUGGCUCACCAAGGCGACGACGGGUAGCCGGCCUGAGAGGGCGAUCGGCCACACUGGGACUGAGACACGGCCCAGACUCCUACGGGAGGCA
rnacentral:rRNA from 1 species